GUCAGUCCCUUUAUUAUUAAUAUAAUUUUCUUUGCCUUAUUUUAAUAUAUAUUAACCCUUAAUUAACAACUGAGUUUGCAUUUGCCAAAUGUAGCACAAUGCCUCUAAAGCACAGAUUAAAGAAACAGCAAGAAGGGAACUACAGCAGGCAGCCCAGGAGGAGAUCAGGGGUUUCUCAUCAAAUCAUCGCUCCACCGACCUGCUGGGCCAAAAAAAAGGGACGCAUCAAUUUUACUUCCACAUCAGUUCACGUGGAUGGGAAUCCAUUUACAUAAUAAGCAAAACGAGGCCAUGUAAAGCUGGUGAAGCUGUUUAAGGACACGGCCUCCAUCGCAG
ensembl:lncRNA